UACGUAGGUGGCAAGCGUUGUCCGGAUUUACUGGGCGUAAAGAGCGCGCAGGCGGUCGUUCAAGUCGCGUGUGAAAGCCCCCGGCUUAACUGGGGAGGGUCACGCGAUACUGAUCGACUCGAAGGCAGGAGAGGGAAGUGGAAUUCCCGGUGUAGUGGUGAAAUGCGUAGAUAUCGGGAGGAACACCAGUGGCGAAGGCGACUUCCUGGCCUGUUCUUGACGCUGAGGCGCGAAAGCUAGGGGAGCAAACGGG
rnacentral:rRNA from 1 species